AGACAUUCAAAAACUAAUUGGCAGUGUUGGGUUAGGGAACAGGGGGAGGGGAAUAAGCCCUUGUUUUCCCCUUUGUUUUCAAAUACUGCAUUUGGUAUCAGAGAAUAGCAGUUCUCAGAUUUCUGAAAUAAGCUUGAUGUAAAGCUGGAACUGCGUACUGUUCCAACCGUUUCCCUGGAACAAGUUUAUUCCUAGGUGGGAACAUGGUUAAUUAAAGUUUAAACUUAAUUUUAAUUAUGCUGUUAAAUUAUUAAUUAAUCUAAUUAAUAUAUUUAAAUUAUUAUUUAUUAUUUAAAUAAUAAAAUAAUUAAUUAAUUUAUCCAUAAAUUAAUAUUUAUAUUGAUCAACCAUUAAUAUUUCUGUUAAUCUAAUUAAUUUUUUUUUACUAGUUAUAGCUAAAAUAGUUUACUAACUAAUUAAAAAGUUAAAUUAGUUUUUAUAUUUAAUUAAUUAAUUAAUAUAUUUUUUAUUAUCUUAUACAAUAUUCAUACCUAAUAAAUUUAUUAAUUUAUUAAAUUAUUUUUAAGUAAUAUUUUGAUAUUAAUUAAUUAGAUAAAAGAAUUUUAAUUUAAGUUUAUAACUCUUAUUUCCUUUGUUCCAAUCUAACCAUUCAAAUAUUAUUUAUCUUAUUUCUAGAAAUAACUCAAUUUUCAUCUAAACGCAAAUUUGAUUUAGUUCUUUCUUAUAGCUAAAUUUGUAUUUAUUUCUGAAAUAAACAGUUCUCACUUAUAGUGGAAGCAAAUACAAUCUAAAUAAAAGUCCAUAGUAUAUACUGUUCAUAUACUGUUA
rnacentral:lncRNA from 1 species